AACGCUGGCGGCGUGCUUAACACAUGCAAGUCGAGCGGAGAAUAUAAGUUGAGAGCUUCGGCAGGAUUCUUAAUAAUCUUAGCGGCGGACGGGUGAGUAACGUGUGGGCAACCUGCCCUGUACUGUGGAAUAAUCACUGGAAACGGUGACUAAUACCGCAUGUCAUCACGAGGAGGCAUCUCCUUGUGAGAAAAGGAUUUAUUCGGUACAGGAUGGGCCCGCAUCUGAUUAGCUAGUUGGUGAGAUAACAGCCCACCAAGGCAACGAUCAGUAGCCGACCUGAGAGGGUGAUCGGCCACAUUGGGACUGAGACACGGCCCAAACUCCUACGGGAGGCAGCAGUGGGGAAUAUUGCACAAUGGGCGAAAGCCUGAAUGCAGCAACGCCGCGUGAAGGAUGAAGGGUUUCGGCUCGUAAACUUCUAUCAAUAGGGACGAAAAAAUGACGGUACCUAAAUAAGAAGCCCGGCUAACUACGUGCCAGCAGCAGC
rnacentral:rRNA from 1 species